AAGAAGGUAAGGGCUGCGCCCAGAGACACAGAGUAAUUUAGAGGAGGAGUAGCUGAGAUCUAAGCGGUUUCAAAACCACUCUUCUGCUCUAGUCCUAACUAAAGUCCAGCAGCUGUGAGGCAGUGCUCAGACCCCCCGAGGACAGCUUUAACUCAGAGCCUCUCCCUGGAAAGUCCUUUACCUGUUGGGCUUUAUCACAGAACCAUACCUAGGGGAGACUUGUAGGACCCAGGAGGAGAGAGUCCUGACAGCUGGGUGGGAUUCUCCUGCAUCCGAGCUCCCAGCAGAAGUUGCCUUCUGCAGACUGGUUGGAAGCAGUCACACAAAGAGGUGGUGCUUCAGAACUACAUGGUUGAUGGAACCUGAGCCCAGAGGUAGGAGCCUUUCCAAAGGCUAGAACAAGGAAAACAUGGAUAUACUGCAAUGGAUCCAUUGGAUUCAUAAACCCAAACCCAGGAAUUGCCAAAGAAGGACUGUUUCAAUCUCUGCCAAAGCUGGUGCAGAUGUUCUGCCAAAUGCAACGAUGCAGAUCCUUCAUCUCCCUACUAUUUUUUUGUUGGUGGUCUUGAUGUCCUUCCUUUGAGGAAUGCAUUCAGAGUGUGGAAACUGGAGAGGCUUCACUACUGGAAACCUUAAUUGCUACUACAGGCAAAUCCACUCCCGUUUCUGGAGGUAGGGAAUUCCCUCCAGCAAUGAAAUGACUGUGGCUCUAUAAACAUGCUGAGGGGAUGGUAGGAGGACAUAAAGGAGUAAUUCUA